UCCCUGGUAGUCCAGUGGUCAGGAUUGGUUACUCACACUGCCAUGGCCUGGGUUCAAUUCCCAGCCAGGGUA